AGGAGGCCGAGGCCAGGGCGCGCGAGGAGGCCGAGCGGCAACGUCUGGAGCGGGAGAAGCACUUCCAGCGCGAGGAGCAGGAGCGGCAAGAGCGGAAGAAGCGCCUAGAGGAGAUUAUGAAGAGGACGCGCAAGUCGGAUGUGGCGGAUGCCAAGAAGAAGGAGGACAAGAGGAUGGUGAAUGGGAAAGCUGCCGAGCAGGAGGAGAUCAAAGGUA